AGGGGAGUGAUUUUGGACCCGUUUACACAAAGGGAAGAUGCAGAUAUUUUCCUGCGGUUUGGCCUCUCAUUUACACGAAAACCUUGUUUUUAUCACAGAAAACGAUUAUUUCUAAAAAUUCUGGCCAAAGUGGAGAUUUCUGAUAACGCUGGUUAUGUGUUGUCGUGUCAACUGGGAGAAACGGGGUUUUAGGUUCUCAAACGUCACAUUAUACACCAGAAAAUGCUUAACGUCAUGUGAGCGCCUUAUGUUUACAGUUUGUUUGGCUACUGAUCAUGGAUGCUAUUAUGGUGGUACUUAUUUUUACGUUUGUGCAAACGCUUUUGGCCUGUUUG